CAAGUCAUUGAUAAAAUCUACAUUUAUAAAUUCAAAAUCUUUUUAAACUGCUUGCCACUUUUAUCGGGGGGUUGAACUGCUGCGUAUAAAUUACACAUCCGAUUUUUAUGCAUAGAAACUCCCAGAAAAACCACGAUGCUAACAGGGGAACUCCAAAUCGAUUUGCUGCGCCAGGUAACAAACCCACUUCUCUUUAGAGCCUUAAACUCCUAAUUCUUCAUCACUCUAAACCCUAAUUGCCAACA
rnacentral:misc_RNA from 1 species